UUCAUAGAUUAGGUAUAAUUGUUAUGUACAUUAAUCUUCUGCAUCAUCUUUGUAAUACUAUACAUGUGGCUACUACAUGGGUCCGACAAAAAUACUAUACAUGUGGCUACAUAUAACAUGUGCGGCACAAAAUCGACAAAUAUACUUACCCUUGACCCUUUGACAGUGAUUCCACAUUAUCUUUGAAACUUAAAACAGGGUACAUUCUAAAUCAGGAGCAAAACAGAAAUAUGGAUGAUUAUGGAACACUAAAGAGGAAAACUACAUAUCGAGGGAGAGAAGACGGAUGACUCAUGGGCUUAACUUCAUCUACAUCUACAAAUUGGGACAAGCUUGAAGUCAUGAAACAAGCAUGGGACGAACUCUGCAUCACAUAAUUGUACACAAAGUUACCAAGGAAAGUGGUUCAUCAUGUUGGCUGUUAUGUCUUUCACACGCUAAAGGUAUGAAUGUAAUUGAAUUUUCGUAGGUUCCUUUCUUUUUUUUUUACUUUCAGUGGAUUUCUCCUCGCUACUGUUCUUGCUCUCGAGUUUCAAGGAUGUUUGCACUUUUGUUGCUGUGUGUUCAAGCUCUAGAUAUGUUUUUUCAAUCAAUCUUGCUCAUACCUCCUUUUUCCCCCCUUCAUUUUCCUCUCUUUCUCGGUUGCUGCUCAAUUACUUUCACACUUCUUAAUUUUCCAAUUCACUAACAUUUGUGGGUAAAUAUAUGAGUAUCAUUGGAAGGCGAUAGCGGCAAAGUAACAGGUGAUGGUAGUAAUUUCAUUUGUUUUCUGUUCCUUUUUUUUUUAGUAUUAUGUUCAAAUUUGGUUAGAUUGAAGUUGAACGGAUCAUAUCUUUGAUUUUCUUUAAUUAUUCCUUUGCAUGUAUGUAAUGGUUUUUUUGUGUUGCAUUGAUCGACUUUGUCUAAUGACUUGCAUGUAUGCUACCAUUAUUGGAACAAAUACUGUGUGAUAACUCUACCUCAGUACUAUAAAAGUAGCACAAAAGAUGAAUAAAUGAGAAGGAAAAAAAGGAUUAAAAGCUGAAGAAAAUCAAUUGAUACAUCUAAUAAAGUGGGACACUGCCACAUUGGAGAAGAAAAUUGUAGAUUUAGAAAUAAAUAGAAUAAGAGUAAGAAAUGGUAGUUUACUCAUGAAGUGGUUAUGGAGAUAUAUUGUGAAAGAAGAGUCACUUUAGAGAAGGGUGAAUAUGAAAGUAUGGGGUAAAAAAGGUGAAUGGUGCAUAAAUAAGUUUAUAGAGCCAUAUAAAAAUAAUGUAUGGAAAACAUAUAAGAAGAAUGUGGAUCUUUUUGAAUUAAUGUACUCUUUAUUUUAGAUGAUGGAAGAAAAAUAGUAUUCUGGCAUAACAACGGAUGAGGUCACCUACUUUUAUUUCGAGUUUUUAUGGAUCUAACUCCUUUGCAAUUCAAAGACAUUUGAUAUACUUUUCAAUUAGUAAUUUUGGAUCCUUGCUCGCUUUAAUAAUUACACCUCGACUAAGCUAAGGUGGCAAAAAACAAUCAAGGUCUAGAGACAGAACAACAAGCAGGCUAAACUAUGGGAAGGGUUAAUUUCAGAUUCUCUUAAAUGUCAAGCCUUCAGGUACAAUUUCACAGACUUUUUUCAGGCUCUUCAAAUUUUGGCCCCCUUUUCUUCAAAAAGAAACAUAGUGUUCUGUUUGGUGAACUGAUAAUGAUUA